rnacentral:rRNA from 4 species
AGACCUCAGGUCAGGCGGGGCUACCCGCUGAGUUUAAGCAUAUCAAUAA